rnacentral:pre_miRNA from 1 species
AAGAUACUCCCUCCGUCCGGAAAUACUUGUCAUCAAAAUGGAUAAAAGGAGAUGUAUCUAGAUGUACUUUAGUUCUAGAUACAUCCAUUUUUGUCCAUUUUGAUGACAAGUAUUUUCGGACGGAGGGAGUAUAAG